CCGUUGGCUUGCCCGGAGUCGCCGCUGGCUGGCCCGCGAUCGACGGCCAGCAGCUCGCUGGAGGAGCCGAGCACCGUCUCACAAAGAUCGGAGACAACCGCGGCUCCGUCGCCGUCCGUCAACCGCCGGCGACGACGAGCCACCGAGGCUGCCCUCCCCCUGACCUCGACUCACACACGCAAUCAGCCAACACAAAGGGUUUUUGUGCGAGAAUCAUAUACUGUAAUUGCUCAAAUAAAAGUUUUAACUCUUUCCUUGUAACUUCAGUUCACAAGUACAUAUUUAGUAACUGUAAAUCUAUGAAUUUGCUACUCAUUUUCUUCAUUUAUCAAAGCAUAUGUAAAUCUGAGUUAAUGAGCAUGUGUUGGUAUUCUGGAGUUGAUGUAUACAAUUGAAGGAUAUUAUAAUAUAUAAAUUAGAAAUAUAAA